GAAACAAAUGGUGGUGGCCUGUGCACGUGGUUAUUUGCAGAAGCACGUCAGGUGGGGUGGCGCAAGUUUAUGGGGACUCUUUCUCAGGCCUUAAGUUGAGCAACAACAGAAGAGGCUAUCAAAAAAUUGAUGUUAGCAAAUCUAACACAAAAGUGCUGAGUAUACAAUGAAGCUGAUGAGAGCAAUCCAGGAGAGUGUGGUUGUUAGGACUAACGGAGAGUGAAUAUCCAGAUUUCAGCAUUGAAGAGAAGUUAAAUACUUUUGUUGCGUUGAUUGAUCUACUCAGAGUUGGUUCCAGUAUCAAAAUGGAGGGCUAAAGAUACAACCCAGAUUCAGAGUCAGCCCUUGAAUUUCUUGCCAAAACACUGCCAAUGGGCUGUGGUGACAUUUGGCUCCAAAGGCUGCAGCGCAAAACACGGAAAAGAGGCAUGUUCUAUGUGCCGUGUCUUCCACUUGACGUUUUAGUUCCAACUCUAACCAUCAAAGUGGAAACAAGAAGCAUCAGAUGAACAUCACAAGGGCAAUGAGUAAUGUGAGACAAACCAAAAUCAUCAUAUGAGAUCUCUGCUACUGUAUAUAAUUUUCCAAAAUUCUGUCUGCGACAUUGACGAGGAGGAGGCUCCGGCAAAAGUUCUAUCAGCGCUCAUGAAAUAUGUUGGAAAUUGGAGAAUUUUCUGGAAGGAAGAUAAGGGAACAGUUUCUGCAGUUAAACUCUUGCAUCCAUUUGUGCAAAACCUGGAUAAGUAUUUGGUGUCCAUAUUAGCAGCAGUCAUGCCUUCUAAGAAAUGCCAAAAACAAAUGGUGGUGGCCUGUGCACGUGGUUAUUUGCAGAAGCACGUCAGGUGGGGUGGCGCAAGUUUAUGGGGACUCUUUCUCAGGCCUUAUGUUGAGCAACAACAGAAGAGGUGACCGAGUUUGGAUACUGUUGAUCUGUAUGUACAGUAAUUUUUUAUUAUUUUUUCUUUAUAUGUUUUAUAUUCAUUCUGCUUAGUAUGAGCUUAGCUUGUGGUUUGCAGACUAUCAAAAAAUUGAUGUUAGCAAAUCUAACACAAAAGUGCUGAGUAUACAAUGAAGCUGAUGAGAGCAAUUCAGGAGAGUGUGGUUGUUAGGACUAACGGAGAGUGAAUAUCCAGAUUUCAGCAUUGAAGAGAAGUUAAAUACUUUUGUUGCGUUGAUUGAUCUACUCAGAGUUGGUUCCAGUAUCAAAAUGGAGGGCUAAAGAUACAACCCAGAUUCAGAGUCGGCCCUUGAAUUUCUUGCCAAAACACGGCCAAUGGGCUGUGGUGACAUUAGGCUCCAAAGGCUGCAAUGCGAAACACGGAAACGAGGCAUGUUCUAUGUGCCGUGUCUUCCACUUGGCGUUUUAGUUCCAACUCUAACCUUCAAAGUGGAAACAAGAAGCAUCAGAUGAACAUCACAAGGGCAAUGAGUAAUGUCAGACAAACCAAAAUCAUCAUAUGAGAUCUCUGCUACUCUAUAUAAUUUUCCACAAUUCUAUCUGCGACAUUGACGAGGAGGAGGCUCCGGCAAAAGUUCUAUCAGCGCUCAUGAGAUAUGCUAGAAAUUGGAGAAUUUUCUGGAAGGAAGAAUAGGGAACAGUUUCUGCAGUUAAACUCUUGCAUCCAUUUGUGCAAAACCUGGAUAAGUAUUUGAUGUCCAUAUUAGCAGCAGUGAUGCCUUCUAAGAAAUGCCGGAAACAAAUGGUGGUGGCCUAUGCACGUGGUUAUUUGCAGAAGCUCGUUGGGUGAGCUGGCGCAAGUUUAUGGGGACUCUUUCUCAGGCCUUAAGUUGAGCAACAACAGAAGAGGCGAUC